GUCAAAAGCACAGGGGGGCGGGUCAUUAGCAGCAGCGACCGGCCAAUCAGAAGCACCGGCAGCGGAAGCGGAGGCCACAAGGAGCGAAUCAGCGUCUGCAAGAUGGCGGCGCUGCUGAUGUCUGCGGCGGGAAGGGAGCGGAGCAAAGACAAGCAGAAGAAGAAACAGCAACAGCAACAACAGGCUACAGCUGCAACACCUCUUGUCCAAAGAUGGCUGACCACCGGUGUCGGAGUCACGAGCGCCGACGCCGAGAACACAGAUGAUAUCAUGAGUCUGUGAUUGGCUAAAAGGAAUCUGACUCAACUAUCAAACAAAACAAAGAAAAAGGACUGCUUCCUAUACUCACUAACUUUUGAAAAUCCUCUCAUAUUAGCUUCUGCAAUAUUCACAAAUAUUCAAUUAUUACAAUUAUUAUAUCAAAAACGCUAACAAAUACUCAUAUGAAUACCUUACAAGUAAUAACUAGACUUUCUUGUGACAUAGUCUUCACUUUGUCUGUUUUCUUCAGACUGAGGUUCAUUUUGAAAAUAGUUAUUGUUAAAUGUUACGUUUUGUGGCAUCAGUGGUUCUUUCUCUCAGCAUCUUUAUGAUUCACUAUGAAACUUUGUCCUAAUUGCUCUGAGUUCCUCUUAAUUUCCUUUGUGUACACAAUCUGAAAAUAAAGCUGAUGGAUCAAAAACA